UACUAUAUGGAUGGAAAGGCUAGA
rnacentral:piRNA from 1 species